GCCGCCAUGCGAACCACGGUUAUUUCCACCCGUGGCGCACAGGCCCGAGAUGACCAGCAGAGCGCCAGGACGCGUCCUUUCCGGAGGGGUUCAGGCAACGCUGAAGGUGAGGAUGGUCACCGGGCCCCAGAAGGCCAGGGUCGGCCUGACAGAGGAAGAGCGAUAAUGGAAGCUGCUGUAGCUCCUCCCAGGGCUGAGCAGGCACCACGUGCCCCAGGACCUGGUGGAGAUGUAGCACCCUUGGCUGUAAUGCCUAGACGUAGAGUGAUGGUGUUCACAGUCAGAGUGACUUUCCUAUCCCCACUGGAGGCACACUUGACUCUCAGGUCUCUGCUCCGAGAUGUCCAAUGCCACCAAGGAACGAUUCGGAAGCAAUAUGCAGUGAUUGGCUGCAACCUGAUUGUUAGAUGGACUACUGAAGACCUGGCUUCGAUCCAAAUUUCCAUCAACCCAUUCCUCCAUAAGCUUUCCCUGGUGAUUCAGAACAUUCGGAGCCUUGGGAUCCCACCUUUCCUAGGCUGAGGAAAGUGGCUGAAGCCUAACCUUGUGUCCCUUACCUGACAAGGCAUAGGAGAUUCAAACUUAAGAGCCAUCACUGCUUUGUUAUUUGAGUGUAAGUUUUUGCCUUUACUGGCCUUUGGUAUCUCUUGGUUCACUUUGUUUCCCUGCUACUUGAGGAGUGGGAUGCUUCA